rnacentral:rRNA from 1 species
AUUGAACGCUGGCGGCAUGCUUUACACAUGCAAGUCGAACGGUAACAGGCCGCAAGGUGCUGACGAGUGGCGAACGGGUGAGUAAUGCAUCGGAACGUGCCCAGUCGUGGGGGAUAACGCAGCGAAAGCUGCGCUAAUACCGCAUACGAUCUCUGGAUGAAAGCGGGGGACCGAAAGGCCUCGCGCGAUUGGAGCGGCCGAUGUCAGAUUAGGUAGUUGGUGGGGUAAAGGCCCACCAAGCCAACGAUCUUUAGCUGGUCUGGGAGGACGACCAGCAACACUGGGACCGAGACACGGCCCAGACUCCUACGGGAGGCAGCAGUGAGGAAUUUUGGACAAUGGGCGCAAGCCUGAUCCAGCAAUGCCGCGUGCAGGAAGAAGGCCUUCGGGUUGUAAACUGCUUUUGUACGGAACGAAACGGUCCGGGCUAAUACCCUGGGCUAAUGACGGUACCGUAAGAAUAAGCACCGGCUAACUACGUGCCAGCAGCCGCAGUAAGAC